AAUAAACUAAUUUUUCAUUUUUUACCUACAAUUUUUGACUAUUCGUCUUAUUCAAAAAAAUUUUGUGAUUGAUAUUUUUAUUUUUAUUAGAUAAUAAAUUAUGAACAAUACUUUAUGUGUGACUAUUUUUUUAUAAUUUCCUGAAAAUUUUUCAAAUAAAACGGAUGGUCAAACGUCAGACACGAAAGUCGGAG
rnacentral:pre_miRNA from 1 species